rnacentral:miRNA from 1 species
GCUGACACAUCCCGGCCAAUCUCCAGCAGACCCUCCCUCCCAGACCCUCCUACUUCUUGGACAGCAUCCAUGUUUCAACCAUUUUGCUGUCCAGGAAGUAGGAGGGUCUGGGAGGGAGGGUCUGCUGGAGAUUGGCCGGGAUGUGCCAG